rnacentral:rRNA from 1 species
GUGUCAGCAGCCGCGGUAAUACGAAGGAUCCAAGCGUUAUCCGGAUUCAUUGGGUUUAAAGGGUGCGUAGGCGGUUUUGUAAGUCAGUGGUGAAAUCCGAUCGCUCAACGAUCGAACUGCCAUUGAUACUGCAGAACUAGAGUACAGAUGACGUUGGCGGAAUGUGUCAUGUAGCGGUGAAAUGCAUAGAUAUGACACAGAACACCGAUUGCGAAGGCAGCUGACGAAACUGCAACUGACGCUGAUGCACGAAAGUGCGGGGAUCAAACAGGAUUAGAUACCCUGGUAGUCC